AAUUUAUUUCAUUUUCUUACAUUUGAAAGGAGGGCCAUAGUAGAGUCAGUAUUGUGGUUGCCACUAAUUCAUAGGAUGUUCCAUUACAUUAUACCUUGAAGUGAAUCAAUUGUUUCCCGAUGUCUUGUUGUUUUUUAAAACUCUUUCUAGUCAGAUAGAUUUGUAUCGUUAGUGUUGAAUUGUUCUCAAUUAGGCUUGUGCUACCGCACAAUCCCAUUCUAGCUGAAGCUGUCUCAUGAUUAGAUGGUGUGAUUAUAUGGUGUGUUGAGAUGUGUGUUUAGAUAUUAGGGUUAUGCAGGAGUGGUAGAGUACUGGGUGUCUUGAAACUUGGCUUUGAGCCAUUAAAUGAGGAGGUCAGUUGUAAAUAGCUGGGGUUUUGUUUAUGAUAUGUAUAUGUUGUUUUUUUUUUUCACUUCAUAUCCUAUAAUAGGCUGUUGAUAAGUGGUGAUUGUUUAUUGCUUGUUAUUGUCUAGAUUGCAACCGACUGAAAGUUUGUUUAUAAUAUUGGCAUGCAGGGAAAUAUGGUUGGUCAAGUGAAGUUGAUGAUUGCAGAGGAACAAAAGUUCCAAGGGAAAGCAUUGUCGC
rnacentral:lncRNA from 1 species